rnacentral:misc_RNA from 1 species
CAGAGUUCAUGCCCCUAGGGGUAGAUCUCCCACCCUUUGUUAUCAUUACCUUUGUUGCUUUGGCGGGCCGCCAGGCCUCGGUCAGGCUACCGGCUCCGGCUAGUAAGCGCCCGCCAGAGGACCCUAAACUCUGAAUAUUAGUGUCGUCUGAGUACUAUAUAAUAGUUA